rnacentral:rRNA from 1 species
UACGGAGGAUGCGAGCGUUAUCCGGAUUUAUUGGGUUUAAAGGGUGCGUAGGCGGGCUGUUAAGUCAGCGGUCAAAUGUCGGGGCUCAAUCCCGGCCUGCCGUUGAAACUGGUGGCCUCGAGUGGGCGAGAAGUAUGCGGAAUGCGUGGUGUAGCGGUGAAAUGCAUAGAUAUCACGCAGAACUCCGAUUGCGAAGGCAGCAUACCGGCGCCCGACUGACGCUGAGGCACGAAAGCGUGGGUAUCGAACAGG